UUUAUUUUGAGGUAAAUCUUCAUUUUUGUGUCUCGGUUUGGAGUUUGGACUCUCGGUUUUGAUUGUAAUAUCUCUGGCUAGUUUUUUCCCUUAUUCCUGCAUCAAUUCUUCAGUGCAAGAGACUUAGAGCCCUUGAUAAGGCAUCCUAAUGUUGUAACUUUGAAAGCUUACUACUGGUCUGUAGAUGAGAAGCUGCUCAUAUAUGAUUACAUUUCCAAUGGAAAUCUUUCCACUGCACUUCAUGGGAGGUCUGGAACAGAGUCAUUCACACCCCUAUCAUGGUCUGUUCGGCUAAAAAUCAUGAAAGGAAUUGCUAAAGGCCUCAAGGGUACUGAAAUUGGAGAGAAAUAGUCUGGAGUAUCUUCUACACCACUUUUGUGGAGUAACUGCUAAUAAAGAGUUCUAGGGAGUGGUUUUGAGGUGAUUUCUGUUGGAAGAAAAAAGCUUGUUCGUUCUGUUCCAACAAAGUUGAACAAAGACCAUUUCAUAGUUGGUGAAAUGGGUGAAGCUGAGAAAAGGUCAGUGCUUAGAAGAACACUAAAGAGUCUUUGUGUUAGUAAUGGUUGGUCUUAUGGCAUUUUCUGGUGUUUCGACCAAAGAAAUCCCAUGCUGUUGUCUCUUGAAGAUGCCUACUUUGAGGACCCAGUUGGAGCUGUCAUUGAAAAUAUGCUAUUAAAAGUCCAUGUGCUUAGA